rnacentral:rRNA from 1 species
CACGUAGGGUGCGAGCGUUGUCCGGAAUUAUUGGGCGUAAAGAGCUCGUAGGCGGUGUGUCGCGUCGGCCGUGAAAACCUGUGGCUUAACUAUGGGCUUGCGGUCGAUACGGGCAUCACUGGAGUUCGGCAGGGGAGACUGGAAUUCCUGGUGUAGCGGUGAAAUGCGCAGAUAUCAGGAGGAACACCGGUGGCGAAGGCGGCAUCCUGGACCGGCAUUGACGCUGAGGAGCGAAAGCCAGGGGAGCAAACGGG